rnacentral:lncRNA from 1 species
GACAAGGUGACAGGGGUCGGUGACCUUUGGCAGUUAAGGAGAGAAGAAUGGAGCCUAAGACCUGAGUGCCCCUGGAGUGACAAACAGUGGGAAGUCUGACUCCGUACCAUGUACAGUGCUUCAAGCCUGGAAAAUCAUAUACAAUAAAAUAACAUAUACUCCACGGUGUUCUAUGAUAGAGUAUUUCUACUGUUGGACGGCUGGGGUUGAACCCCAGGACCCCAGGACUGUGGGUUUCACCGCUGAGCUAAGCCCCACCCCCAAUAUACUGGUACUGUAAUUUAUUUCACCAAGCUAUGAGUAAAAAUUUAGGAUAGGCCCCUUUUAGUG